ACCACAUCCAUGCACCAGAAUACCGUGCAAAGUGCUCAUUGAUAUUAACUAAUCCCAUUCACACACCACUGGCACAGCCAACAGGGGUGGUUUGGAAUUACGUGUCUUGCCUCAGGCACAGGACAGAUAGUCAGACCUGGGAUCAAACCCCCACCUCCCAUCUGAAAGAUGACGGACUACCACUGAGCCACAGCUGCCACCCAUAAAAAGACUAACAAGAGACAUGGAGACAGUAAACAGAGGUGAGCUAAGACACGAACAACGGUCUGUUCAGCUUCCAUCACACUUUGCAAACUUUUGUAGCAGCUAAAUUACAGUCAAGAGAUUUAACCAGGAAACAACAUGCUGUCUGAAGCUCUGCUCUCUCCAUUUGAUUUCAGAAAAUUACAUUUGAUCAGUUUAUUGCUGAGUAAUAAAACCUGUCGAUGCUGCAGCUGUUUUUAUGUCUGUUUUCAUCCGUACUUGGCGGUAGGACAAACAGUGAAGGCCUGGUUUGGGCGGACUGACAGAGGAAAAGUUCACACGCUCAAGGAUAUUUUAUGAGUCAAGUUUGGGUAAAACAAAAAAACAGUGGAAUUGAGCCCUCCAAACAACACUGCUGCUGAUCUCCACACAUGUUCAAGCCAGGGGUCUUUCUGGGGCACUGACAUUGGAUUCCACCUCUCUGUCCUGGGACGGGGAUCAGGGCCGGCAGGGGGGUUGUCGAUCAGAGUGGGACUGGAGAGUAAGACAGCAGGGUGGGGAGAAUGGAUUGUCCACGGGUGCUUGGGAGGCUGAACAGUAUGAGGGGGAAUUACUGCCUCGAACAGCAGCCAGAUGGACAGCAGAUGACUUUUGUGUGUUCAAGAUACUGCAGGCUGAAAGCAGGGGGGAACGAUUCGGGUAAAGGCCUCAGUUUUAUCGGAUUUUUCUCUUGGGAUGGUAAAAUAACCUAACGUUAUCUUUGCCCUGUAAUGUCCAGUUGAAAACAUAAACACAUAAUGGUUCUUACAGACUUGUUGAAAGCUUUAAGCACUGUGGGUCAUGUGAUUCUGAAACAGUGUCCUAUAACCUAUCUGAAAUACGUUAGUUUCCAUUCAGUGAUGAACACAAUUUAAAAUCCAGGGCCAGCCUGUCAGGCGUGCAAGGACAAGAGUGACAACUGCUGCAAGACUGCCUCCUGCUGGUGCAAUAGCAAACCUCUGAUCCCAUCAGUAUCAGCUCCUCUACAGACCUGCACUGCCCUCUAGUGCUGUGGAAAAACAAGACUGAGAGCAGCUUUUUCAGCAGGGACCUCCAAUACUAACUGUGGUACAAAGAGAGGUGGGGUCUAAAAAAGCAAUCUGGGGGUACAGAGGGGUUUAAGAGGCUGUUUGCAAAGCUGGUAGAGAGGAAGAAUGAAGGUCAGAUUACUGGCUGGGUUAUCCGGAGUUGUGGUUCAGGAAAUAGACCCGUCCUGUAAACUAAUGUGAGCAGAUUAAAAGGUUAGCAGACAUUUAAGCUCUUUAUUUUAUGUUCAGUCAAUCAUAUUAUGCAUUUAAAGUACUGAGCUCUUUUUUAGGUUUAUUGUAACAUGUUAAGAUGUUGAAGUUGAAAACAUCUCUUGAAAAACGUGUUUAACAAUAUUAUUUAAAAAGGUCUAUUUGAUAAGUUAGGGACAAAGUACCAGGACCACUGAUAUAAAGAUGCAGAUCAUGUUUCCAACUGUAAACAAUGUGCAGAAUAAUUUUAGGUCAUCUUAUAUCAGUUUGUUUACAGCUAAGAUAAAGAGACUUCAGGGUAUAAAUAAAAUAAAAUAAAAUUAACCAUGUUUGUAUUUAUACUCAAAAUAAAAUAUUGAGUAGAAACAUUUAAAUAUUGCAAUGACAGAGAAAUGCACAAAAAUAAGGAUGACAUAACACAAACAAGAAACAGCACAGUAUGGAAAAGAAGAAGACCUCUCCACCUCCAGCUGAGGUCCUGCCUGUCAUGCAAACCCACUGAAGUAGUCAUCAGCAGCUCACUUACAACAUCAACAAAAAAGAACUAUACUCAUAAUCCAGAUUAGGGUUAUAAAGACCGUGAUGAGGAUUAUUUCUGACCAGGACUUCCAUAAUUGGAGUGUCUAUGAGAACACUUUCCAGGUAGUAUCACUUUGUCUCACAAUCUGAAUUGUAUGCAGCCUUAUUUUAAAUGUCAAAUGGCACAUUUUUCUCCACUAAGCCUGUCAGAAAGCAGAUGUGGGGCCAAUACAGCAGAAUCCGAGAGUUAAACAUAAGACGAAUUCAAGAUCCUCUCCAUUGUUUUUAUGUCAUUCAGCUAUUCUGCUUUGAUCAAUACUUUGUAUGAUUGCUUAUUAUUUCAUAAAGAAAUAUAUGAAUACCCAGCCAAUCUAAUGCAACUUAACACAAAAUCUCCACCAUGAAUUCAACUGUUAUAAAGUUUCUGCGUGUUUCUGCUGGUCAGACAGGUGACAGCUGUUCUGUAAAAAAGUACUGAAGUUAGAGUGGAUGUUGAAGGAGUGCUAGAGUCCAUUCUGUUGGGACAGUAACAAACACGUUUACUCACUAGUGAGCUAGAGGAGCAAAAUUAAUUCAACUAAUUAACCAGUGACAUAGUGUGACUGCCAGACAUGUUGCCUAGUAAAAUUGUGUUGCAUGACUAGUUAACAAGUGAUACAAAAGGCUUUUCUCUAGUUAGCGUGUGAGCAAAAUAUCAUGCUGCUAGCUAACUUGUUCAUUUUUCUGGAUACAGCUAGUUCACUAAAAAAAAAAAAACUGCAAGUACAUGUUAACAUGUAAAGCCAGAAACGCCAUAAGCAGUAGACAAAGUGGCUCUAACUAGUUGACAUUUUGACAGGUAAAAUUUUGAAGCUUCAUGUAAGGUCACAAUAAACCCCAACUAGUUAAUGAGUAAGCACUGUUCUUGUUACUUGUUGACAUGUACAUACCAAGAGGCACUCUGUAGUUUACAUGCUGCAGUUUCUAAGGCAACAAAACAAAUAACAUAAUAACAAAAUCCUGACUUUUCAUCAGUUGUCAUGUUUAGUUUUGGAGUGGGGAGUCAAUAGGAAGCCUCAUUGCAUGCUCCUCACACAUCAUCAUAAGUUUUUGUUUCUGUAACUAGUUAACUAUCGCAUAUUUUUCCUUGAACUAGUAAGCUAGUAUACAUGUUAAAAUAGGCAACUUGUGCAACUAGUUCACUAGUAAAAAUGUUGGGUCCAUCUAGUUUACAAGUAAGGCCAAAAAGGGAUGAACUAGGUAACUAGUGAGCAUGUUGGGCUUCACUUGUUAUCUAGUGAGCAUUUCAGCCUUUUCUAGUGAAGUAGUAACAUACAAUUGUAUGCACUAGUUCACUAGAAACCAUAAUUCAUGAUUGACGAGUUAACAUGUUAGAGUUUUUGCAGCUUACUAGUGAACUAGUGUGUGUUUUUGACAUGUGAUAUCAAGGAUAUCGAAUGAAUACUCACCUGACUUUUCAUAGAAGCAGAGUAAUUGUUUUGUGUUACACGACAGGCCAAAAGUUUGAAACGCAAGAUCAGAUUUGUACAAAAAAAGACCAUAGUUUCAUUAAUAUAAUUUGCAACACAAUAAACAUGACUAUUGUGUAAAGAGUAACUUAUCAGAAGACAUUUUGACUAUAAUUAUUAGGUAUUGGAGUUAUUGUUGCUUAGACUUUGCUUUCUUUAAAGUAACCUCCUCUGGCUUUAACAACAGCUUGGCAUAUACCAGGCAUUCGUUCCACAAGUUUUUCUAAGGUAUGUUCCAGGGAUUGCAUUCCAAGCUUUCUUAAGUUCAUUAAAAAGAUACUGCUGAUUUGUGGGACGUGUUUUUCUGACCGGUCUAUCCAAUUCAUCCCACACAAGCUCUAUUGGAGAAAGGUCUGGAGACUGAGGGGGCCAAACCAUCUUUUGAAGAACACCUUCCUCUUCUUUUUUUGUCUAGGUAACCCUGACAGAGCUUGGCAGAGUGUUUAGGGUCAUUGUCCUGCUGCAAAACAAAGUUAUGAGCCACAAGUCUGAGUCCAGAUGGAGCAGCAUGGUGCUGGAGGAUGGAGUGGUACUGUUCCUUCUUCAUGACACCCUUUACUUCAAACAAAUCUCCUACUCCAUCACCU